GACGAACGCUGGCGGCGUGCUUAACACAUGCAAGUCGAACGGAAAGGCCCUGCUUUUGUGGGGUGCUCGAGUGGCGAACGGGUGAGUAACACGUGAGUAACCUGCCCUUGACUUUGGGAUAACUUCAGGAAACUGGGGCUAAUACCGGAUAGGAGCUCCUGCUGCAUGGUGGGGGUUGGAAAGUUUCGGCGGUUGGGGAUGGACUCGCGGCUUAUCAGCUUGUUGGUGGGGUAGUGGCUUACCAAGGCUUUGACGGGUAGCCGGCCUGAGAGGGUGAUCGGCCACAUUGGGACUGAGAUACGGCCCAGACUCCUACGGGAGGCAGCAGUGGGGAAUAUUGCACAAUGGGCGGAAGCCUGAUGCAGCAACGCCGCGUGCGGGAUGACGGCCUUCGGGUUGUAAACCGCUUUCGCCUGUGACGAAGCGUGAGUGACGGUAAUAGGUAAAGAAGCACCGGCUAACUACGUG
rnacentral:rRNA from 1 species